rnacentral:rRNA from 1 species
ACGACUCUCGGCAACGGAUAUCUCGGCUCACGCAUCGAUGAAGAACGUAGCAAAAUGCGAUACUUGGUGUGAAUUGCAGAAUCCCGUGAACCAUCGAGUUUUUGAACGCAAGUUGCGCCCAAAACCAUUUGGUUGAGGGCACGUCUGCCUGGGCGUCACGC